UACGGAGGGGGCUAGCGUUGUUCGGAAUUACUGGGCGUAAAGCGUGCGUAGGUGGUGCGUUAAGUCUGUCGUGAAAGCCCCGGGCUCAACCUGGGAAUGGCGAUGGAUACUGGCGCGCUAGAGUGCGGUAGAGGAGAGUGGAAUUCCCGGUGUAGCAGUGAAAUGCGUAGAGAUCGGGAGGAACAUCAGUUGCGAAGGCGGCUCUCUGGACCAGCACUGACACUGAGGCACGAAAGCGUGGGGAGCAAACAGG
rnacentral:rRNA from 1 species